rnacentral:rRNA from 1 species
CCUACGGGAGGCAGCAGUAAGGAAUAUUGGGCAAUGGACGCAAGUCUGACCCAGCCAUGCCGCGUGCAGGAUGAAGGCCCUUUGGGUUGUAAACUGCUUUUAUCUGGGAAGAAAUCCACUGUUUCUACGGUGGUUGACGGUACCAGAGGAAUAAGCACCGGCUAACUCCGUGUCAGCAGCCGCGGUAAUACGGAGGGUGCAAGCGUUAUCCGGAUUCACUGGGUUUAAAGGGUGCGUAGGCGGGUUUUUAAGUCAGCGGUGAAAGCUCCGAGCUUAACUCGGAAAUUGCCGUUGAUACUAUUAAUCUUGAAUUUAGUUGAGGUGGGCGGAAUGUGUAGUGUAGCGGUGAAAUGCUUAGAUAUUACACAGAACACCUAUUGCGAAGGCAGCUCGCUAAACUAAUAUUGACGCUGAGGCACGAAAGCGUGGGGAUCAAACAGGAUUAGAAACCCUGGUAGUCCACGCCCUAAACGAUGAUUACUCGAUCCGUGCGAUACACUGUACGGGUCUAUGCAAAAGCAUUAAGUAAUCCACCUGGGAAGUACGACCGCAAGGUUGAAACUUAAAUGAAUUGACGG